CGCGGCAAGACGGAAAGACCCCGUGAACCUUUACUAUAGCUUGACACUGAACAUUGAGCCUUGAUGUGUAGGAUAGGUGGGAGGCUUUGAAGUGUGGACGCCAGUCUGCAUGGAGCCGACCUUGAAAUACCACCCUUUAAUGUUUGAUGUUCUAACGUUGGCCCGUAAUCCGGGUUGCGGACAGUGUCUGGUGGGUAGUUUGACUGGGGCGGUCUCCUCCUAAAGAGUAACGGAGGAGCACGAAGGUUGGCUAAUCCUGGUCGGACAUCAGGAGGUUAGUGCAAUGGCAUAAGCCAGCUUGACUGCGAGCGUGACGGCGCGAGCAGGUGCGAAAGCAGGUCAUAGUGAUCCGGUGGUUCUGAAUGGAAGGGCCAUCGCUCAACGGAUAAAAGGUACUCCGGGGAUAACAGGCUGAUACCGCCCAAGAGUUCAUAUCGACGGCGGUGUUUGGCACCUCGAUGUCGGCUCAUCACAUCCUGGGGCUGAAGUAGGUCCCAAGGGUAUGGCUGUUCGCCAUUUAAAGUGGUACGCGAGCUGGGUUUAGAACGUCGUGAGACAGUUCGGUCCCUAUCUGCCGUGGGCGCUGGAGAACUGAGGGGGGCUGCUCCUAGUACGAGAGGACCGGAGUGGACGCAUCACUGGUGUUCGGGUUGUCAUGCCAAUGGCACUGCCCGGUAGCUAAAUGCGGAAGAGAUAAGUGCUGAAAGCAUCUAAGCACGAAACUUGC
rnacentral:rRNA from 1 species